GCAGGUGAGCAGACUUGACUGGCAGCAAGGAGAGUUGAUCCAUGUCCAGCUCCAGGGGGACUGGGAAGACAGACAGAACAUGCAACUAUACAGGAAAAGGAAAUGGGGAAGAAAGGCAGGGAAGUUAGGAUAAGGUGAACAUAACUUUAAAGUUAUUUUAGUGGAUAUUGGAGAGGCAGAGGCAACCAAGCUUGUCUUCCCGUCGGAUGACUUGGAGCCACAGUUUUCCUACUUGGCUAAAUUCAGCUUUAGAUUUGGUUUGUUUUCCCCCUCAUUGUGAACUUGAUGUGGCGUUUUCUGGGAUGCUGACUAUAUCUGUUGUACGGUAUCAUAACUGGACUUGUGGAAUACGCUGUAAAAAAGUUGAGUUUAGAGCUCCUGACAAUUUUUACCAGCUUCCUGGUCCAGCUCCUAGUCCAUAACGAGCACCUGGAGCUACGUCUCAUUCCUGGGGGUCUCCUCCCUUUUGGACAUGCAUGGGAAACCUCAAGGGAAACUAUCAGAAGGCUUCCUGAACACUUCAACUUUCUUCUUUUCAUGUGAAGGAGUAAUGCCUGGCUCAGCUCCCUCCUCGCCAGGAUUUCCAAGACAGUCCAGCUGCAGACCUCCACUCUCAGCCGGCUUAACGGCUCCUGCAACGUGAACCGGAAGCUCACCUCCAUCGUAGGACGGAAGUGAUAUAAAUCUAAUCUUUGCGGUCUCAGCCGUCUGAUAGGCUCCUCCAGCUCCUCCUCUUCUAUCGUGCAUAAAACCUUAACACAAAUUGCACAUGAUAAAAUAUGCCUGCCAAACGUAAAACGUCUUGAAUGUUUAGAUAUCGUAGCAUAAGACAAUCAUUUUUGGACAGUUGGGAUCACUUUAAUCACCAUCAUAUAAAAAAACAACAAACUAAAUAACCGUAAAAUAGUUAUCAUGAUACUGACUUAAGUUAACAUAUUUCACCUUCAUGUGCUGCAUAUAAUAUUAAAUGAAUCAUGUUGCUGUGAAUCUUCAAACCUUGAAUUGAUUCUACUUCUAUCCUCGUUUUACGGUUAAAACAACAAUGAAUGUAAACACAGAGGUUGUAGACUGUAGCGCAAAUUAAACAAUUGUGUCUCUCUGGA